rfam:Lobosporangium transversale strain NRRL 3116 BCR41scaffold_4, whole genome shotgun sequence.
GCGGGGCGCAUUAGUCAGACCACCUCCUCGUGGUGCGUCCUGGGCUGUCUGCUCAUCUGCAGACAGGCGAAGAGUCUGACACU